AUUAUACUCCCUCCGUCCCGAAUUACUUGUCGCCUAAACGGAUGUAUCUAGCACUAAAAUAGUGGUAGAUACAUCCGUUUGAGCGACAAGUAAUUCCGAACGGAGGGAGUAGAUA
rfam:Triticum urartu cultivar G1812 contig1224360, whole genome shotgun sequence.